rnacentral:lncRNA from 1 species
CCCCACACUGCAGAGGCCACCUGACAAUGCUAAUGUCCACUUGAACAGCAGUGAGACAUCACGCACGCUAACACAUUGCACACUAACACACAUCACACACGAAAACACAUCACACAAGCACACAUCACGCACGCUAACACACAUCACACACUAACACACAUCACACACUAACACACAUCACACGUGCUAAAACACAUCACACAAGCACACAUCACACACACAAAAACACAUCACACAAGCACACAUCACACACGCUAACACACAUCACACACUAACACACA